AUAAAAUAUAAAAGUUUUCAGGGGAAAAUCUUGCCUAGCUUGGGAACGGGGUUAAGGCCGCCGAAGGCUCCCGCUCGAGCGGUACGGGGACACCCGUUAGAAUAUCGGGAAGAAAAAUGACAUAAGACAUCCCCGGUUCCGACUCGGGCGCCAUAUGACCGUCUCUGUCGCAAGCUCUCCUCCCCUCUCCUGCCGCUCUUCCCUCCCCACCACCGGCCGUCGAUAUCCUACUACCGUCAUUCCUUGCCCUCUCCUCCAAGCCAGCUACCCCCGUCCCGCGCCCACUCGUCCACCCACUUGCACCCCCGCAGCACUCUCACGUACCCGACAUACAACUACUACGCGCUGCCAACUCGUCACGACGAUCGUGUUACCUGUGUUACCACCACCACAGUCCCGGUGACCAACACUAAUUGCAAAGCAGCGAGUCUAUCGUCUUUUGUGCCUGUGUGCCGUUUGCACAAGAAAGGAACGAAGACUGGAAGGAGGAAGCGGAAGGGAAGAAGGAAAGGAUAAAGAAAAGAUUAGAGGGAGGGGAAAUAUUAGGAAAGAAGAGGGCCAGUUACGUAGUCGUGCACGACUAGGCUAGGGAAUAGAAGACAAGAGGAGAGAAGUGGUAUAGCGGAGAGAGAGAGCAUAGCUUUAGCCGUGCCACGACACGGCAUAUCCAUAGACAUAUACACUGUGUCUAUGGGCAUAUCGACGAGAUCCGAGAGCGGCCGAGCACGACCGAGGCAGGCCGACUCGGACCCUGCGCGCUCAACCCAAACCGGAGGAAGCAUAGUUGCAUUUAAACUGCCAUCCCACCGAGGUCUCUCUUCCGUGGUGUUGGAGUAGUCUGCUGGCUGGGCCAGCCGCACUCGACGAGUACGUGUCGCGUACCUCGCACCGUUCACCCGCACUCUCUUACACCGCACAAACCGGACACUCUCUCUCGCGUGUGACACUUGCUUCCGUCUCUCGCGCACCCUCUCCGUCCUUUGUUUUCGGAGGAACGUGCAUCGUUGGAUCCUCUUCUCCUCCAAGAAUAAAAGGAAAAAAGGGGGUUGUCGCACGAGGACUUUGGACGACGAAUUCGGGGGGGGAAAAAAAGAGAAAAGUUUCGUCGAGAUUCCGUGUGCAUCGUUGGUGUUUUCAAGUUUCGAAGAACGUAAAAAAAGGAGCGUAAAAGAGAAGGAAAAAAAAGAAGAAAGAUGUUUAAACAACGGAAAGAAGAAAACGAUAGUAAAUCGAGGCGAGUAUCGAAAGAACCUUUGAGAAUUAUCGGAGGGUCGUGUUCGUACGUCGUUUUUCUCUACACACGGACUCUCUGGUCUCGAUUAGGCUCCCGGAAUCGAGUGGAAAUUCGAUCGAUCGAUUGGUGAACGGAAUAAUCUUCUCGGUUUUGUUCGUGCACGAAUGCUGCCCGAGAAAACUCGAACGUUGAUUCAGUUGAAUGGACUGGCCGGGACUGUCAAAGUUGCGCCUCGGAGUCAGCUGCUUCCGUUACGUCCAGCCGCAGACCCGUGUACACAGGAUGUCCUGGAAGUGUGUGUCGAUUCUCCGUUCCUCUUUCGAUAUUUUAAAUCGAUUUUCAGUGAAAAAAGAAAAAACUGAAGAAGGAGAGAAGAAAAAAACGAAAGGGAAGAAAAAGUAAUAAAAAUCGACAAAAUAAUAACUCCAAGAUGAUCGUGGAUCAUUGACGUAAUCUGUGAAGAAUUUACAAAAUUCUCUAGAUCUGACUAAAGUGGAUGAAAUGUUUCGUCAUUUUUUUUUCGCCAAUUGUGCGUCGUCGUUUUUUUUCUUUCUUUCUCUCUUUCUUCUCUCUCUCUCUCUCUCUCUCUCUCUCUCUCUCUCUCUUUUCGAGCUUUCUUCGUCCCAGUCGAGAGUAACUUGUUGACCGGAUGCGUUGAAAUUUUAAACCAGCCGUAGUAGAGUGGAGAAAAGAGCGAAAGCCUUCUCGUUUUUCCCUCCGUGAAUCCCGAUAGCUUUUCUCGCGUUCCCAUCGCGAGCUAGAGAGAUAUAACUUGUUGACUUUUCUCUCGCUAGGGCAAACGCGACGUUUCCACCCGUAUUACGUAAAUCGAAUUUGAAUUUCUACCAUGAUCUUUGCCCUACCUCCCCCUCCCCCCCUCCCCCUCCGCUGUAAUAUUCGCCGUGGAAACCGAUGUAACCUGCCACUUUGUGUCUUGCGCGUCUUCCGCGGCGUGUGCUCUCUCUCCGAUCCUCUUCCUUUCCAAAAGGAAAAGAAAUUGAAAGCCAAAAAAGAAUUUCUCGAUCUAUUCAUUGUAUGCACAUUACAGAGGAGGAGGAGGAGGAGGAGGAGAUGUAGAGGAGGAGGGAGGGGGGGCAAAGUCGAUCAAUAAAACACGACAUUUUCGAUCCGUCGUGAAUUACGUAAUUUUCCGAAUUUAUGCUCGGAAGCUCGACUCGACUCGACGUUUUGUCUUGUAUCUUCGCGAUUUAUCCAGCUUUUUCAUCGCCGUUCCUUCUUCUUCCUCAUUCUCGCGACAUUUCUCGCACAAGGAUCCAUUAUUUCUCGCCUCUCAGCCGACUCGAAAUUAUUGAUUUCAUCGAAAUCGUUUCUUUCGCGUUCUCCUCCUUCGUGUUCACCUCGCCACUUCAUCCACCAAGAACACUGUGUCUCACGCGCUGCUUCAGUUAAUUACUUCGGUUAAUCACCAUCGUUGAGGUUGGGAGAAGUUUUAAGCUCGAUCGGGGAGGAAUUUUUCUUUUUAUUUUCUUUUUUCUUAAUUUUUUUUAAUUCGUCCUCACUUUUUUCGAUGGUUUCUCGUGGAAUUUCCAAUCGAUACUUUUUGAUACGUCCAACUUUGGGAAUUUUAUUUUGUGCGCGUAGCGGAAAUCGGUGUGUUUAAAAAUUUCUUCGAAUUUUUCCUUCUUUUUUCAUUUUUCGUGAAAUUUUGUGGAAUUCGUUCAACUAACUAAUUUCAUCUCUCUGGAUCGUAGAUAAUUUUCGGCAAUGUCACGUUUCGUAGAUUUCAUCGUGUAUCCGGGAAUUUUUAUCCGGAAAAUUCCUCCUCGUUUUGCGGUAUCCGUGAUAUUUUAUCAAAUAUAUUCGACCGACGUGCACUCUCUGUGACGUUCACUUUUCGUAAUUUUCAUUGAAAUCAAAUAUCGUGAAAGCUUUCAUCGUAUUCCAGAAUUUCAUUUCGAAAGAUUCUUUAUUAUUUUUCUUUUUCUCCCCCUCCUCCUCUCUUCCCCCUAUCUUUUACUAUCUUUUCCAUCGAACACGAAUUUCGUUCAAUGAAAAUUUCUCGUGAUUAUCAACAUGUAUUAUCAUCCGUUACAGAAUCCUUUCUAAAAACUCCUGGCUACCAUGUAUCCAUGUAUUUUCAUCAGACACGUUCGAACGGUAUUUCCUAACGUUCUUUACCCAAGUAAUUCCCAUCGAAAUCACGUAUCGUAGAAUACGUUCCAUCGGUGAUUCUCGAAGGAGCACCGGAGGAUCUCGUCCCACACGAUGAGACUCGGUUUCUACGAUGCAUUUUUCUCGUUCUCCACGUCGAUUGGUCCACACGAAAGGUAUCCGUAACUGCUGUUGCUACGUGGCUCCACGAGGGGGCCACCUUUAAAGCCGAUAUUGCGGAACCGUAUAUAUAUGUAUAUAUGUAUACAUACAUAUACUUAUAUAUAAUAUAUAUAUAUAUAUACUUCCCAUAACCCGGUGCUUAAAACUUAAAAUGAAAUUGCGAACGAAAUGCUUAAAACUUGAGGGCUCGUGAUCUCGACAGCCUCUCCUAUGAUUUCCUCCGCGAAACCGUGAAAACCGUUUCCAACCAAUACUCUUCGCUCCACUUUUGACCUUUUCCAGCCAUCGAUCGACCUCUUUGCGAUUUCUGCAUCCCUAGACGAUUGCUCGCCCUAUAAGGCCCAAUACAAUUCGAGUUGUUCUUGAAAAUCACUUUUUGACAUAUACAUAAAUCGUCGAUACGAUGGAAAUUUUUCCUCUUCUUUCGAGGGGAGUAGGUUUUUUCGAUAAAAUUAAUCUCGUGGAAAGAUUGGUGGUGAAUAUUAGAGGGAAUUAACGAGAACGACAACAGCAAGGGUGCGAACGAUGCGUUCAAUAUUGAACUUGUCGUCCCAGUUGGGCAUUGUUUGAGCAUCGUUUCACGACCGUCCCCUUCCGCGAAUUAUCGAAAUCUUCUAACCCUGUUUCACGCAUCUCAUACCUUGACCAUUUAUCUCACUCGACUCCUCGAAACUAGGAAUCUUUUCGUUUGAAAUAUUCGAUAAAUCGUAGAGGAAAAUUUCUCGUUUCAUCGAUUUCGCGUUGAAUCAAUAAUCUCGGUAUAUAUAGAAAAUGUAUAUAUCCGUAACAAAAAUAAUUUUGUUAUAAUAACUCCUCGUAACAUUUAAUUCCACUUGUUAAUAUUCGUUCAACAAUUGAACAUUGAGUCAUCUUCUCCCUCCAUUCGAGAAUAGAAUUAUUCUAUUAGCAUUAUAAACCAUAUUUUACUUUCCAUUUUCCUAACUAAUAACAACACCUGUAUUCCCAUACUCCUCAUAAUUCUCGCAUAGAAAUUAAUUAAAGAGACGAAAGAACGAAUAGGAGGAAAAUAAUUUCUUCGAAAAUAAUCCGGAUAAAUCCUCUUUCUCCCAAUGUGUCGAAUUUUUUUUACAACCGCGUCGAAUCGAAAAAUUUCAUCCUUUGUCGAGUUGAAAAUUCAAUAAGCUUAUCAGCGGAGGACUUUGAAGGGCGAAAUAACGAAUUAAGUGGAUUAAAGGAAAUAGUUUGGAAGAGGGGGAUUGAUCGGCGGGAAAAGGUGUUCGAGGCAGAUGCGCGAGAGGAGCGGAUAGGGACAAAUUGCAAUUCCGGAAGCUCGCAGCUUCUGGUGCAAUUGUCGGUUGAUGGUCGGUUCCGUGUCGCGGGCUCGUUACCAAAAGGUAAUUUCUUAACCGGCGUAAUAACACGUUCCUGUGUAUACACAUCGUCGCCGGCCACUUUUCCGCAACUAUUAGCCCAAUUAGCCUCGAUGCGCCGUCAACUGUUGCACGCGAGAGCUCUGGCGACGAAUCGACGGAUUCGACGCGUCUGCCUAUCGAUCAAUUAAACCAUUUUCGCCACGAAUUCGCGGUGAACGAAUGUCUCUGGAAAUGUCAUCGGUCGUGGAAGGAGGUGAUUUUUUUCCCGGAUGAUUGGACGAAAUUUUUUUUUUUUUUCGUUCGUUCGUUUGUUUUUUUUCUAUUUUAUUUUAUUUUAUUUUUCGACGCGGAAUUCGCGGACGAAUUUUCACCGAUUGAAAUUCAUCGGUGGAGUAUUGUAUCGUGCGUAUUAGUCGUAUUUUCAUAUCAGAUUUUACGUGAUCACUCGAGAAAGGAAUUAAUUAUCGUGAUAAUUAAAAAGAAUUAUCGUGACUUUGAAUCCGUGUUUGGUGUUAAUUCAUUGAUUUUUAAAUUGUAUUUUCUAAUUUCUUUUUCUAUGUUCCGUGGUGAAAAAAACUGUUCAAAUUUGAGCGUCCCCCGUUUCUUGUUCCAAAUCUAACAGAUAAUUCGACGAGCAAUUAAAUUUGUUUCGAAAAUACUCGUCUCGUGGUAUUUUUCGUGGUGUUUUAUACGUACUUGGUCGAGGUAAAAAUCUUCUUCCCGCAAUUUAUAUUUCUCUCGAUCGAUACUCUCGUUCUAACACUUAUCUCGCCCCUUUUCAUCCCACUUUUUAUCCCGAAUUCGAUCGGUCGACAAUUCUUCUUUAACACCGAUCCCAAUUAACCAACAACAAUGACUCUCGAUCGAGAUAUCCUCUGUCAUUCUUCUUCUCUCGAUUGAUCAAAGAAUCACGGAGAAAACACAUUUAUCUCCAAUUAAAACACGCAUUCAUUCGUUCAAACUCGUCAUCCCUCUUCACACCCCUUCCAACCAAUUAUACAAUUUUCCAGACGUUUAACUCUCGACAAUAAUCGAGAAACGAUUAAAAAAAAAAAACGAUCGAAGUCGUGGAAAAAUUUUCCAAAAGCUUUCCACCUCUCUCUCUUUUCAUCUCUUUUCUUUCCUUUCUUCCCUUUCUUCUUCUUCUUUUUUUUUUCGAUCUCUGGUAAUUCGAAUCGGUCUCUCGAUACUCGGCCGAGAAAAUGAAUAGAAUCGAUCGAUCGAGAAGGAGGGGGAAGAGUAGUAAAUUCACGCGAGUGUUUGGGGGAGGAUUGAUGAGAACGGCUCUCCUCUCUCUCUCUCUCUCUUUCUCUCUCUUUCUUUCUGGAACGAGACGACGAUCAUCGUUCUUCAACGUUCGACGAAAUUGUGUUCCCAAUGACAAUGAGGAAAUAUCAUCUUUCAAGAAUCGUUCGAUCGAGGAGUUAAUCAAAAUCCGUGAGGUUCGUGGUUGGACCGAUGCAAUAAUAGCUUUUUAAAUGGCGAAUACGUGAAUGAACCGAGGUUAAAUUGUUCCUAAGGUUUCCAAGAAGCUUGAUUUCGAGAUACUAAUCAGGAAAUAGUAAUUGGAAUUGAAGAUUGUGACGCUUUAAAAUUUCAAGAUGAAAUUGUGAAAAUCUUUCGACUGUAUUGGAAUUUUAGAGAAGAUUGAACAAUACUUGAUGUUUAUGGAAAAAUCAACUCAGGUAAUUUUAUAUGAUCCUUAUUAGUAUGCAUGAGAAGAUAUUAGUAUGGAGGUAACAUGAUAUAAAGUGUGCCAAUUACACGAGGUACGACUGGAUCGAAUCUCCUACCACGUUACGCGUAAUACGAAACAGCGGGGUCCAAUGGGAACAAUGGGGAGCAACGGUUCGAGUGUCGUCUCGUCUCUUGGGAAAAGUGGAAAGAGUCGAAAAGUAGGAUGAACCAUGCCUCGGCAACGGUCUUGAUUCCUUUUGGCCGCCAUUUCUAAGUGGCAUCGCAGAGCUUCGCGUGAGUUCUUCUCUCCGUUCUUCGCUCUCUUUGCCUGCACUUUCUUUCUUUCUUUCUUUCUUUCCUCUUCCGCCCGCCAAAGAUGUCCCUCCUCUUACCUCUCCAUCGCCAGCCCAGCCCAGCCUAUUUUUUCCGCGGCUUCUUCUAAUGGCCUCUCUCGAGGUCUUAUCGGUAACUCGUUCCCUCGAAUCUUUUCCUCGAUGAAGACUCUUCCCGCCUCUCUCUCUCUCUCUCUCUCUCUGUGUGUCUCUGUUUUCCAGCGCUCUCUAGCAACGUGGUGACGCUGUUGCAUAAAAUCUGCGAGGAAGGAGGGAAAGGAGAGAAGGAGGAAGACGAAGAGGAUGAUGGGGCGCCACUGUAUAAAGCAUCCGAACGUUACGGACGGGCCUGACUCUUUGCUCUGCCCGUACCUUUUUUUCCACUCUGGGUGAGCAAAGUUUCAGGUGUGUCCGUGACAGUCUCUAUCCUCGCGCGAUCAACAUCCUUCGGCAAACUUGGACGAUCUGCAUCCGACAGAGAGUGUGCUCGUUCAUCGAUUGGAAACAUCGACGAUUCGAAGUUGUGUGUGAUUGCAAAAUUCUGUCGCGUUUGAUGGAUCGUGUAUGAAUGGGCUUGAUUGUGAAAAUAAGAAAAUAAUCUUUGGUAUUGGGGAGUUGCGGAUUUGUGAAACUGUCCAAUGUCUGGUGGAAUCGAACUUUUUGGAUCGAUUUGUAGUUUUGUAGAGAAUAUUUGCUCGAGGAUUGGUCAUUGGAAUUGUUGAUCUUGACGAAUUUGUCAGCAAGUUUUAUAAUUGGGAUAAUUUUGAUAAAGAAAAUGGAAGAAAUUUUAAAUCGGUUUUAAAAAUUAAGAAAGAUGGAUAAAUUUCGAGUAAAAUAAUGAAUUUUAAAUAUGUAUUGGUGAUGGAAUGUAUAAGAAACGAUAUUUAGUUAAGAAUUAACUAAAGGAUAACACGGAUGAGGUACGCGAAUAUUUUCAUGGCAAUCAUCGUAUCCUCGACAGUACUCUUACGCCUGAAAUUUGCUUUUUACCUGGCCCUCGUGCUCUCUUACUUUGAGAAAAUAAAGGUGAGCAAAGUUUCAGGUGUGUGAGUGCGUUGGAAUCAACAAAUAAAUCCGGAUGUUGAUGAAACGUUAAGGCAAAAGUUUCUGAAGUUUCUUCAAAUUUUAUUAGAACGAUUUUAUUUACUUUAUUUUUAUUAUUUAAAAAAUUUUAUAAAUAUAUUUAUUGUAUUUUUCCCAAUUAAAAAAGUAUCGAUACACUUAAAGUCUAAUGAAAAAAGAAAUAAAAAUUGUAUUAAUAUAAAAAUCAAGUAACGAAUAUAUCAUUAUUGUAUUACAGUAUAUCCAUCGUUAUUAAGAAACAUAAAUUAAUUUAUAACAAUGUUGUUUUAUAAAAAAAAAAAUAUAUAAGAAAAAUUAUUUGUUAUAGUAUUAUAUAUAUCUCAACUUUCUUAAACAUAAAGUUGUAGAAUUUAAAUAAAAAAUAUAAUGUUAUAUCAUAUAUAAAAAUGUAUUAUAUAUCGUUCGAAUAUCCUUUUUGAUAAUCAUAGUGGAUAAAACAUUAUUAGAAAAGAUUUAUAUUAAAUAUUUGUAAAAUAUUUGUAAUCUUGUUAUAAUAAAUAUCGAAUAAAGUA